UCAUUUCCCCCAUCUCUCAAUCUAUUACCCUUCUCCUGACAUACCGCCGCCGAAAAUCACCCUAUGGCGGCGGCACCAUACCAAAUGGCCCAAUUUUAUCACCAUACAAUCUCCUUCCCCUCCUAAUCCCAAAUCUCCUACCAAUUUUCCCAGAAAACCUCCCCAAAAUCCUUUAAUUUCAAAUCUAAGAAAUCGCAAAAACCUUAAAGUUUUCCCUUUUUUAAUUUGUCCCUAAUUCUGGCUCAUUUGAGAUCGAAACCUACACCAGUUGACUUCUCUUGAUGAUUGCAUGAACUUUACUGAUCUCAUGACCACCAGAACCUUGGUCAAGCUCCAUUGGGUCGCACAACUCAUCCUCGCCUUGUUCUGCUUCAUUUUAUCGGGUCAGUAGGAGAUAUUUGCUGCAUAGAACAAUAUCUCGCAUGGAGAAAUCCGGCCAGUGUUUGUGUGGCAAUUUCUCCGGCUUGCCGGAAAUCCGUUUCUUUUGACAACCCAUUCAAACACUAUAGUUCCAUGUUGGAAAUCUGGGUAUGCUAUGAGAGUUGUUGAAGGCCCAGGCAAUGCUGGGUAUUUCCUUUUGGGCCUGCUGCGGGCCUACUAUUAGUGCUUUUAUAAUUUUGUAACUACAUUCAUCAUUGGGUCUGUAAUAACUUUGUAAUAAAUAAUUGGGGGUGUUAGUGAAAUUUGGGGAACGAGUAUAAUCUACUAUUUGCAUGCAAGGGUAGAAAACAUGCCCAUAGGGUUCAUGUGAUUUACCUGACUUGCUUCCACUGGUAGAAACCAUGCCUUUAGGAAACUCACACACACACACAUAACUUGUCUAUCAUCGAAGCACGGGUGUAAACACUCUAUUUUAUUCUACUGCUAUGUGUUACUAGACAACAUACCUAUAAGAAAUAAACAUUCUCUCAAUCCGCAUAA